UACGGAGGGAGCAAGCGUUGUUCGGAAUUACUGGGCGUAAAGCGCACGUAGGCGGCGCGGUAAGCGUGCGGUGAAAGCCCGGGGCUCAACCCCGGGUCGGCCGUGCGGACUGCCGCGCUCGAGCACUGUAGAGGCGGGUGGAAUUCCGGGUGUAGCGGUGGAAUGCGUAGAGAUCCGGAAGAACACCGGUGGCGAAGGCGGCCCGCUGGGCAGUGGCUGACGCUGAGGCGCGACAGCGUGGGGAGCAAACAGG
rnacentral:rRNA from 1 species